AUGCAGCAUCACAGAAAUUCAACCUUCUUCUCCAACUCAACACAGUCGUGGCUCCAUCGACUCCUUCCCGUUUGCUCAAGUCUCUGUCUCAUUUCUUAUUCUUCGCUCAAACUCAUUCGCGGCUCAAUAUCAUCUCUGAUUCGAUUUCGUGUGUUUCAUUCACUCCAAGAUCACCGUGACUCUGACGAACUCAACAUUCUCCGAUGA